rnacentral:sRNA from 1 species
AGCCAAGGUGUGGACACAGAAUGUAAUU